rnacentral:tRNA from 1 species
GCCCAAUUAGCUUAGUGGUAGUAGCGCUUCCUUGGUACGGAAGAGGUCGUCGGUUCGAUUCCGAUAUUGGGCU